rnacentral:misc_RNA from 1 species
AUUUCGGACAUCAGGAAACCAGGCAUGUCAAAGGAGGAAGCAAACUUCUCAACAUCAGCCUUGAGAGCCUCAAUGUCCUUGUUGUUCACCAGACCCUUGUUGAAGUCCUUCAACAGCUUUCCAUGUUCUUUCUGGAUGCUCAAAGUGAUGGUUACAGCACGGUGGAGGAAUUCUGCAAUUUGCUCAAAGUCCCCCUCAACCAAACCUCUUGAAGUCAUGGCCGGGGUCCCGAU